UAAGUACGUCGCCGUGAUCACGUCACUCGCUAUUGGUUGCAUGCGAUAGUGUUUCGUGACGUCACUUUUGCAUGAGACCCCGCUUCGUCGGCGCACGAAUACUGCUGUGAGUGCGGUUCUUUGAGGUGUACGUGCGUUGUAGGAGUUACGUUGCAAGCAACUGUAUAUUUUAUUUAUUUAUCAUAUUCUUAUUUUACAUUUUUACCGUUUUAUUUUUAUUUAACAUAUAUCCCUAUAUUUAAAUAGCGGGACAGCUCUGUUGUGCUGCGAAUGUCAUGUUGGGUCGUGAGAUAACUGAGAUAAAAUUUGAAGUUCGGAGGAGGCUGCAUAGAAGCAUUUCGCAGACGACAUUUCUGGAGGGGUUUGAGAACAGUAAUUUAAAUAUGAAAUGUCAAAGAAAUCUCAAUGGAAGAAAGUUCUCGUUGCUUGGAUGUCACAGUAACGGCUACUGUGUCAUCUUUAAGGCCGCGAUGUCGUUUGGACUUCGAGCACUAUACGGAGACUGCGUCCGGACAGGCCGCCACUGUGGCCACUGCAGUCUUAAUCCACGAAUUGAUUCAGCAGCUGCUCAGAGACUGCCAUGCGCGCUCCCUUCUGGUCAAGUGAGCUGUCGGCGGAACCCACCUUGCACAGAUUUUGCGGAACGAUGGCGCUGGAUGGGGACGACGGAAGUGGAGACCAGUGGGGACACCAGCUCGUCGGCCCCACUCCAAGACCGGUUUGGUCCUCUGUGCUCUCCACGUGGGAUUGUUUUGGAGCGCGCCGAGGGUUGUUCGCUGGAGAGCCGAUAGGAUAGGACUCGAAGGUGAAGAAUGUUCAUUGUCUGGAUUGCGAACUGUACAGCGAGCUGCAAACGAGAGUAGUUAGCUGUGUAUCAGCAAGAUAUUGCGUUGUACUUGAAUAAAAUAGCCAUACACGUAGAAAUAUAGUGA